rnacentral:rRNA from 1 species
CAGUAGCGUAUAUUAAAGUUGUUGCAGUUAAAAAGCUCGUAGUUGGAUUUCUGGUGUGAGACGCCUGGCCCGCCGAGAUUUUUUUACUCGUGUGAGUGCCGGCGUGUCUCCGCCAUCCUUUCUGGGGAACGUGUCUACCGUUCAUUCGGCCGGGCAACGGGAACCAGAUCGUUUACUUUGAAAAAAUUAGAGUGUUCAAAGCAGGCUUGCGCUAUGAAUACAUUAGCAUGGAAUAAUAAUUUAGGACUUUGGUUCUAUUUUGUUGGUUUCUAGGACUGAAGUAAUGAUUGAUAGGGAUAGUUGGGGGUGCUAGUAUUCAGCGGCCAGAGGUGAAAUUCUUGGAUUCGCUGAAGACUAACUUAUGCGAAAGCAUUCACCAAGGAUGUCUUCUUUAA